rnacentral:rRNA from 1 species
UGAGGAAUAUUGCGCAAUGGGCGAAAGCCUGACGCAGCGACGCCGCGUGGAGGAUGACGGUCUUCGGAUUGUAAACUCCUGUCAGUAGGGAAGAGAAUGGACGGUACCUACUGAGGAAGCUUCGGCUAACUACGUGCCAGCAGCCGCGGUAAGACGUAGGGAGCAAGCGUUGUCCGGAAUUACUGGGCGUAAAGAGCUCGUAGGCGGGAUUGUAAGUCUUAGAGUAAAUCUCACGGCUCAACUGUGGGGCCUUCUGAGAUACUGCGAUUCUUGAGGAUGUCAGAGGAAAGUGGAAUUCCCGGUGUAGCGGUGAAAUGCGUAGAUAUCAAGAGGAACACCUGAGGUGAAGACGGGUUGCUGGGCUGACACUGACGCUGAGGCGCGAAAGCCGGGGGAGCAAACGGGAUUAGAUACCCGAGUAGUCCCUGAGCGGGCUGGCAAGGCGCAU